UUCCGGUUGAUCCUGCCGGACCCCACUGCUAUCGGGAUAGGACUAAGACAUGCAAGUCAAGCGCUUUCUAGCUAAUGUGAGAGCGCGGCGUACAGCUCAGUAACACGUGGCCAACCUGCCCUUGGGACGGGAACACCCCCGGGAAACUGGGGUUAAUUCCCGAUAGGUGAAGAAGUCUGGAAUGACUCUUCGCUCAAAAGACGUUUAUGUCAUGCUCAUAUUCGUCGCCCAGGGAUGGGGCCGCGACCGAUCAGGUUGUUGGUGAGGCAAUGGCUCACCAAGCCUUUUACCGGUGCGGGCCGUGAGAGCGGGAGCCCGGAGAUGGGCACUGAGACAAAGGCCCAGGCCCCACGGGGCGCAGCAGUCGCGAAAAUUUUGCAAUACACGAAAGUGUGACAGAGCUAUCCCGAGUGCCAUCCGCUGAGGAAGGCUUUUACCCAGUAUAAAUAGCUGGGAGAAUAAGGAGAGGGCAAGUCUGGUGUCAGCCGCCGCGGUAAUACCAGCUCUCCGAGUAGUGUGGACGUUUAUUGGGCCUAAAGCAUCCGUAGCUUGCUAGAUAAGUCCUCUGUUAAAUCCACCGAUUCAAUCGUUGGAUUGCGGGGGAUACUGUUUGGCUAGGGGACGGGAGAGGUCGACGGUAUUUCCGGGGUAGGGGUGAAAUCCUAUAAUCCCGGGAGGACCACCAGUGGCGAAGGCUGUCGACUAGAACGCGCCCGACGGUGAGGGAUGAAAGCUGGGGGAGCGAACCGGAUUAGAUACCCGGGUAGUCCCAGCUGUAAACGAUGCAGCUAGGUGGUUUGGGCGGCCACGAGCCGCCCUAGUGCCGCAGGGAAGCUGUUAAGCCUGCCGCCUGGGGAGUACGGCCGCAAGGCUGAACUUAAAGGAAUUGGCGGGGGAGCACCACAAGG
rnacentral:rRNA from 1 species